rnacentral:tRNA from 1 species
GGAGGUGUGGCUCAAAGGGUAGAGAGCCAUGAGCAAAGAGAAAAAAACAAAAAACAAAAACAAGACAGAGUAUAAGGCCCUGAGUUCAAGUCCCAGCAGCUCCA